rnacentral:lncRNA from 1 species
ACCCGCCUCCCAACCCAUUCUCCCGGGGACCGCCAGCUUUCCAACCACACUGGCAAUGAGCUUUCUUAUCCAAAGGAAAUCACGUCUUCAGCUGCAAAGUAGGGACCGCGGGGGGGGGGGGGGGGGGACAGCCCGCGUGUUUACUCUCGUUGGCUCUCUCCCGCGCUGCUGCAGGGACGGAUUGGCUCUCCCGCUCCCCUGACGCUCACGGGCUCCGCCCCGGAGCGGCCAUCUGCUCCUCGUGGGUCCUGGGGUCUCCUCCUGACCCACUCCCUCCGCCCCUCCUCUCGCGCCCCUCCCCGCCCCCACUCCGCCGGGCUCCGCCCCUUCCCCCUCCCGGCGCCUGGGGCUCCGAAUCUUCCCCGCGGUUGCCCCGGAGACGAGCCGAUACCAGGCAAAUAGGCAUUGGAGAAAGAAAAGGGGGGAAAGCUGCACGACAGCCUGUUAACAAAGGAGCCACAAAAGCAGCCCCCGAAUGUCUGGGAGAAAAAAUCCGAAAGCGAACUAGCAAUCAUCCCAAUUUAAAACCGGAGGGAGACGCAGAGGAAGGGGCAAGGUUCCCGUGGGGUGGGUGCACAGAUUGCCUUUUGAGCCUUUGGGAAUCUCCUGGAUGGUGGUGUUGGACCAGCCCAGUUGACUUUUCAAGUUGGAACUGCUAAUGAGGGAUUCGUGUCCAUCCUGGCGGCCGGGUUCUCGGGCCAGUCCAGCAGGCUUCCUUACGGGUGCUAACACGUUGGUUGGCAAGACGCGUUUCGACGAAAUAUUCCUUCCAGGCGCUCCGUGGAAUAUGACUUUGGGAUUUAAUAAUGUAUCUAAAGGUACUGGACAGGAGAUGAAACUUCACGCAACGAUGUUCUGCUCAGGGACUGUCAAACAGCACUUGAACAAAGGGUUAUUGGCUUGAACCAACUGUCCUUUUCACUCAAAGUGUGACCUAUUUCCCUACAAUGAACAGAAAGUAACUGUUUGACAAUUCCGAGCCAACACUAAGAGAAACGAGCCAUUCCCUCGACUGCUUCUCGCCUCCAUCGUUCACGUUGCAGUCAUUAAAUGCAAACGCCGAAAGAUGUUUUGGAUGUUUUCAUGAGCGAGACUAGAGGAAUAUUUAUUAAGUUGCAUCCUCUAUCCCCUCUCCCUUCCAGAUACAUUAAAUCAACGCCUGGUCUUUCACACACUAAAAGCGUCUGGUACUUCGGUGGCAAGGGCUGUAGCGAACGAGAGAGAUAUCCUACACACCGCUGUAGAGCUUUGCCUUUAGCCUGGGUUAGACGUGGAGUCUCCAGGGAUUUUCUUUCUGUCUCUCAACCUUGCAGGCGAUUUCUUCUGAGACUAGGACUCGGUCUUUUAGGAUUUCCUCGCUGUUGCCUCUCUUCCAGGAGCACACUUGAUGCUGUGCACAGACAAGUUCAAAAUGAGAGUCCCUCCGAUGUUGGCAGCAGGCUAGGAAAACAACCCGUGUCGACGAGAGUAGCUGCCUCCCAACUGUAAAUAUGGAUUCGUACACUCAAGGCUCGGUCUAGUUUUACCACAGAGGAAAAUUAAUGAUGUCGUUUCUUACAGUGAUAACAUGCUAGCAAGUUUCGAUCUUCUGAAAAUGGUCCUCACAAUGUUUUGUGGAAAAGUGAUCGGUAAUUGGAAUAGUUGGAGAGACGCGAUUUGAGGUGCUCCAAGGACCAAUUUCAAAAUAUUUUAUUUCACGCCUCUAGGAGAGAAAGGAACGAGCAUGGCUUAGGCUGUUUGCUGUUUUUGCGUUUCCCACAUCUGGCCUACAGACCUAAUUCCAACUGGAGAUCUUGCUAGAUGAAAUUCGAUCUUCGUGGUUUAAAUACCUUUCAGUGUGGGACGAUUUAACAAUUGCAGCAGUUUUUUUAAAAAAAGAAACACCCCCCCCCAAAAAAAAAAAUCCUUGCGCACUAUCUGUGAAACCCUUAUGGAGUGCGGAGGGAAAAAAUGCUGCUAGCACACAAAUCCUACCCAUUGUCUUUAACACUCGUAUACACACUUAUACACGUAAACACACGGGAAAGAUGGGGGAGGGGAGAGAAUGGC